rnacentral:rRNA from 1 species
GUAGUUGUAUCCUGGCGUCAGGACGAACGCUGGCGGCGUGCUUAACACAUGCAAGUCGAACGAAGCUUGAUGAAUGAUUUCUUCGGAAUGAAUUCAGAUAUGACUGAGUGGCGGACGGGUGAGUAACGCGUGAGCAACCUGCCCUUCGGAGGGGGAUAGCGUUUGGAAACGAACGGUAAUACCGCAUAAUGUUAGAUGAUGGCAUCAUCGUCUAACCAAAACUCCGGUGCCGAAGGAUGGGGCUCGCGUUGGAUUAGAUAGUUGGUGGGGUAACGGCCUACCAAGUCGACGAUCCAUAGCCGGACUGAGAGGUUGAACGGCCACAUUGGGACUGAGACACGGCCCAGACUCCUACGGGAGGCAGCAGUGGGGAAUAUUGCACAAUGGGGGAAACCCUGAUGCAGCAACGCCGCGUGAAGGAAGACGGUUUUCGGAUUGUAAACUUCUGUUCUUAGGGAAGAAGAAAGUGACGGUACCUAAGGAGCAAGCCACGGCUAACUACGUGCC